rnacentral:rRNA from 1 species
AGAGUUUGAUCCUGGCUCAGGAUGAACGCUAGCGGCAGGCCUAACACAUGCAAGUCGAGGGGCAUCACGAGGUAGCAAUACUUUGGUGGCGACCGGCGCACGGGUGCGUAACGCGUAUGUAACCUACCUAUAACAGGGGCAUAACACUGAGAAAUUGGUACUAAUUCCCCAUAAUAUUCGGAGAGGCAUCUCUCCGGGUUGAAAACUCCGGUGGUUAUAGAUGGACAUGCGUUGUAUUAGCUAGUUGGUGAGGUAACGGCUCACCAAGGCAACGAUACAUAGGGGGACUGAGAGGUUAACCCCCCACACUGGUACUGAGACACGGACCAGACUCCUACGGGAGGCAGCAGUGAGGAAUAUUGGUCAAUGGACGCAAGUCUGAACCAGCCAUGCCGCGUGCAGGAAGACGGCUCUAUGAGUUGUAAACUGCUUUUGUACGAGGGUAAACUCACCUACGUGUAGGUGACUGAAAGUAUCGUACGAAUAAGGAUCGGCUAACUCCGUGCCAGCAGCCGCGGUAAUACGGAGGAUUCAAGCGUUAUCCGGAUUUAUUGGGUUUAAAGGGUGCGUAGGCGGUUUGAUAAGUUAGAGGUGAAAUCCCGGGGCUUAACUCCGGAACUGCCUCUAAUACUGUUAGACUAGAGAGUAGUUGCGGUAGGCGGAAUGUAUGGUGUAGCGGUGAAAUGCUUAGAGAUCAUACAGAACACCGAUUGCGAAGGCAGCUUACCAAACUAUAUCUGACGUUGAGGCACGAAAGCGUGGGGAGCAAACAGGAUUAGAUACCCUGGUAGUCCACGCAGUAAACGAUGAUAACUCGUUGUCGGCGAUACACAGUCGGUGACUAAGCGAAAGCGAUAAGUUAUCCACCUGGGGAGUACGUUCGCAAGAAUGAAACUCAAAGGAAUUGACGGGGGCCCGCACAAGCGGAGGAACAUGUGGUUUAAUUCGAUGAUACGCGAGGAACCUUACCCGGGCUUGAAUUGCAACUGAAUGAUGUGGAGACAUGUCAGCCGCAAGGCAGUUGUGAAGGUGCUGCAUGGUUGUCGUCAGCUCGUGCCGUGAGGUGUCGGCUUAAGUGCCAUAACGAGCGCAACCCUUGCCGAUAGUUACUAACAGGUUAUGCUGAGGACUCUGUCGGGACUGCCAUCGUAAGAUGUGAGGAAGGUGGGGAUGACGUCAAAUCAGCACGGCCCUUACGUCCGGGGCUACACACGUGUUACAAUGGGGGGUACAGAAGGCAGCUACACGGCGACGUGAUGCUAAUCCCUAAAGCCUCUCUCAGUUCGGAUUGGAGUCUGCAACCCGACUCCAUGAAGCUGGAUUCGCUAGUAAUCGCGCAUCAGCCAUGGCGCGGUGAAUACGUUCCCGGGCCUUGUACACACCGCCCGUCAAGCCAUGGGAGCCGGGGGUACCUGAAGUGCGUAACCGCAAGGAGCGCCCUAGGGUAAAACUGGUGACUGGGGCUAAGUCGUAACAAGGUAGCCGUACCGGAAGGUGCGGCUG